AGUGAAGACUGUGGCCAUUAAUCUUCUGCCCUUCAUAGACCCUUCCUAAUGUCAAUCAAAUGAUCUAAUCGUACACAAAUAACAAGGUAAAGAUGUGUCCCAGUACUGAAGGGGUUAAGUGUAAAGAACUUGUGUUGGUGAUGAAGACAGGUUUGCGUAUAUCUAGUCAAGUGUGUAGUGUGUGUGGUAGGGAAACAUAAGGUGAAUACAGUACAUACAUUACAUCAGCUUGUUUCCCUACCACUCACUCUGACGGCCAUAUUCAGAAAUUAUAGAAACGAUAUAGUGUUUGUCAUUAAAAUAGAAGGAAGAAGCAAAGUGUGUAUUUAUGUGAGCUGUAAAGUGGAAAUAGUGAAAAUUAGAGAUGAAAUAGUGUUUGUUACUGAAAUAGGGAGGAAGAAUGAAAAAUGAGUGUUUAUAUGAGAUGUCAAGUGGAAAUAGUGAAAGUUAGAGAGAUGAAAUAGUGUUUGUCAUUAACUAAAAUAGGAAGGAAGAAUGAAAAGUGCGUGUUUAUGGGAGUUGCAAAAGCGUUCAUAUUUUUGCUGAAAGAUUUAUAUUUACACAGUUAAUUAGAUGAAAAGAAAACCCUUAUUAUGCAACAGUAUAAAAGGAAACAGAGCUUACUAAAGGCGACACAGCCAAGAUUAGUUAGUUUAGUAAGAAAAAAUAUCAUAAAAAGAAAUAAAAAAAAAAAUACGUGAAGUGGCCUCCGCACAAGAACCAUUAGAUAGUUAGGUAGGAGAAAGUGAGGAAAAAAAAAAUGUAGAUAUGAAGAUAAAGACCAAAAAUGCAUUACUAGAACGACCAAGUUAUUACGUAGCUGUGAGUGAAAGCAAGAACAGUUAUGAGAGAAGAACAAGACGAAAGAGCAAUAGAAGCAGAAGAGAGAAAGGGAAUAGUUAGUGUAGUUAGCGAAGGAGAGAAGAGGGAAUUAGAUAGUAAAGGCAGGGGAUAAAAGAUAAUACGAGAUAGGGAGGAGUGAGAAAGGAGAGGAAGAAGUAUGGCAAUCAGACAAGACAAGAUAAAGAUAAGAUAAAGAUUUGCUGCGUAGUUAGCGAAGGAGAGAAGAGUCAAUUAGAUGGUAAAGAGACAAGAUAAAAGAUAAUUCAAGAGAGUAGUAAGCAAGGGAGAUGAAAAAGAAGGCAAUCUAUUUAUUUUUCCUUUUCCAUCAUUUUAGGCCUCAAACCAAAGUUCCUCUAAAGAAAUAUUAAUACAGACGAGUGACUUCAGACGAGUAGAGAACCAGUCCUAGUUAGCAUGGCGGGGUGAGGACUGAGGGGUGAGGGUGGUGAGGGGUGAGCUUAAGUGUGUAUAAUAACCACGUGUACCUCUGCAGGUGUGUCACAGGUGUGUUGUCUCACCUGUGCUGCAUCUUAACACAAUAAAUAACUCUGCUUGUAGUAUACACCUGUAGCUUUCUCAGGUGUGUGUGUGUGUGUGUGUGUGUGUGUGUGUGUGUGUGUGUGUGUGUGUGAGGCGUUCUCAAUAUGUGUGAAAGUAUUAGUAGUAGUAAUAGUUGUAGCUGUAGUGGUGGUGAUGGUGGUGGUGUUGGUGGUGGUGUUGGUAGUACUAGCGGUGGUGAUGGUGGUAGCGGUAAUAGUGUGCUGUCACUACUUCAAUGGUGGUAGUCAUUGUAGUAGUAAUAGUGGUUGUGGUAGUGGUAGUAGUAGUGGUGGUAGUGGUGGUGGUGCUGGAGAAAAAAUAAAAAGGUCUCUCUCUCUCUCUCUCUCUCUCUCUGGCAAUAACAACAGCAACAGCAACAGUUUCGAAACCUCCAUGAGUUUCGAACCGUGACGUAUGAACCUGAAUCUUUCUACACCGCUUCUCAUUGGACCGACUAAGAGAGAGAGAGAGAGAGAGAGGGUGAGGGGUGUGGGGAUGGGGAAGGACCACCACCACCACCACCACGCCCAGCCCUUCAGUAGCCUCAGUACCUCCGUGGCUGUCACUUCGCGUGUUCCUUCGGCGGGAGCGGCGCGCCCUUGCUAGCUGUUGUCUUGGUGAGAGACCGAGGAUGAAAAAUGUGUCAGGCUGAACCACCACCACCACCUUCACCACCACCACCACCACCAGAAAGAAAGAGGAGAAGCAGAACACACGAACAAACAUGAAGGACCACCACCAUCACUACCGUAAUGAAGGAAGAGGAAGAGGAGGAGGAGGAGGAGGAAGAGUAAGAGUAAGAGGAAGAGUAAGAGGAAGAGGAGGACCGUAAAAAGACCCCCACCAGUAACAACUCCGGCACACCUGCACUUCAUACUGCUGUGUGUGUGGUGAAUUUGAUCAUUUUAAUCCCUUCAGUAGCAUGUUUUUCCAUAUUCAUUCUGGUUACUGUUUGGUGAUUCUAUACAGCUUCAGAAACUAUGUGAAGGAUUAAGAUUGUUAAGAUUCUGGCUAUUAAUCUUCUGACCUCCAUAGACUCUUCCUAAUGUCAGUAAAAUGGUCUUCUCGUAUCCAAAACUCAAGGUAAAAAUGUGUCCCAGUACUGAAAGGGUUUAGUUUGAUUUACUUAUUAAUUUAUUCUUUUCCUCUUUAGCUCCGGCACACCUGCACUUCAUACUGCUGCGUGUGUGGUGAAUUUGAUCACUUUAACCCCUUCAGUAGCAUGUUUUUCAUGUUCAUUCUGGUUACUGUUUGGUGAUUCUAUACAGCUUCAGAAACUUAUGUGGGGGGAUUAAAAUAGUGAAGACUGUGGUCAUUAAUCUUCUAACUUGCUCAUGUAAAUAAAAUCGUCUAAUCACACACCCAAAAGUCAAGGUAAAAAUGCAUCUCAGUACUGAAAAGGUUAACCACUUCAGUACUGGAACACAUUUUUAUACCAUGAGUUUAGGGUACAAUUAGGCGAUUUCAUUAACAUUAGAAAGGGUCUAUGGAGGUCAGAAGAUCAAUGGCUAGAGUUUUUACCAUUUUAAUCCCAACAUGAGUAUCUGAAGCUGUAUAAGAAGAGAAUGA
rnacentral:lncRNA from 1 species